AGUGAACGCUGGCGGCAGGCCUAACACAUGCAAGUCGAGCGAGCGGCGGACGGGGGAGUAAUGUCUGGGAAACUGCCUGAUGGAGGGGGAGAACUACUGGAAACGGUAGCUAAUACCGCAUACCAUCGGAUGUGCCCAGUUGGGAUUAGCUAGUAGGUGGGGUAAUGGCUCACCGAGGCGACGAUCCCUAGCUGGUCUGAGAGGAUGACCGGCCAAACUGGAACUGAGACACGGGCCAGACUCCUACGGGAGGCAGCAGUGGGGAAUAUUGCACAAUGGGCGCAAGCCUUAUGCAGCCAUGCCGCGUGUAUGAAGAAGGCCUUCGGGUUGUAGAGGACUUUCAUCGGGGAGGCGUUACCCGCAGAAGAAGCACCGGCUAACUCCGUGCCAGCAGCCGCGGUAAUAC
rnacentral:rRNA from 1 species